GCGGUGGUGGCGAAAUUGGUAGACGCGCUAGCUUCAGGUGCUAGUGUCCGUUAGGACGUGAGGGUUCAAGUCCCUCCCUCCGCACCA
rnacentral:tRNA from 12 species